GUUUGUUAUUGGUAUGAGCUUUCGUGUGCAUGCACACUUCUUCAGAUACACAGUGUGCAUGCACAUGAAAGCUCAUACCAAUAACAAAC